GGUCAUCAUCAUCAGUUCACGACCCAAAUGCGCAAUUAACAGCUACAGCAACUGCCUGCAGGCAAUGGAGUUCCUCUCUUUCCCGUCUGUCUGUGUGCAAGCCACAUGACAACAGAUGCCGUGCGCAGUUGGGCCGUCAGCUGUUGGGGGUGAACCUGUAAGAAGCGUAGGAGAUCGUGCCGUGGGUCCAGCUCUCGUGGAUCUGCUCCGCCUUGGCGCCGUCCCCGGCGGCGCCCAGCGCGACGUGCAGCGGGUACAGGUGGUCCGGCAACGGGUGCGCCAGCUUCCCGUGCGGUGCCUUCUCCUCGUACCUGUUCACG
rnacentral:lncRNA from 1 species